AGUGAGCGCUGGCGGUAGGCCUAACACAUGCAAGUCGAACGGCAGCACAGUAAGAGCUUGCUCUUACGGGUGGCGAGUGGCGGACGGGUGAGGAAUACAUCGGAAUCUACUUUUUCGUGGGGGAUAACGUAGGGAAACUUACGCUAAUACCGCAUACGACCUACGGGUGAAAGCAGGGGAUCUUCGGACCUUGCGCGAUUGAAUGAGCCGAUGUCGGAUUAGCUAGUUGGCGGGGUAAAGGCCCACCAAGGCGACGAUCCGUAGCUGGUCUGAGAGGAUGAUCAGCCCCACUGGAACUGAGACACGGUCCAGACUCCUACGGGAGGCAGCAGUGGGGAAUAUUGGACAAUGGGCGCAAGCCUGAUCCAGCCAUACCGCGUGGGUGAAGAAGGCCUUCGGGUUGUAAAGCCCUUUUGUUGGGAAAGAAAAGCAGCAGGUUAAUACCCCGCUGUUCUGACGGUACCCAAAGAAUAAGCACCGGCUAACUUCGUG
rnacentral:rRNA from 1 species